rnacentral:tRNA from 1 species
GCCUGAGUGGCUCAGUUGGUUGAGCUUCAGACUUUGGCUCAGGUCAUGAUCCCCCCCUGUUCAGGUUCGUGGGUUCGAGCCCCACGUUAGGUU